GACGAACGCUGGCGGCGUGCUUAACACAUGCAAGCCGAACGAUGAAGCUGGAGCUUGCUCUAGCGGAUUAGUGGCGAACGGGUGAGUAACACGUGAGCAAUCUGCCCUUGACUCUGGGAUAACUGCGGGAAACUGUAGCUAAUACCGGAUACUUUCACCGGGGGGCAUCCUCUGGUGAUGAAAGAAUUUCGGUCAAGGAUGAGCUCGCGGCCUAUCAGCUUGUUGGUGAGGUAACGGCUCACCAAGGCGACGACGGGUAACCGGCCUGAGAGGGUGACCGGUCACACUGGGACUGAGACACGGCCCAGACUCCUACGGGAGGCAGCAGUGGGGAAUAUUGCACAAUGGGCGCAAGCCUGAUGCAGCAACGCCGCGUGAGGGAUGAUGGCCUUCGGGUUGUAAACCUCUUUUAGCAGGGAAGAAGCGAAAGUGACGGUACCUGCAGAAAAAGCACCGGCUAACUACGUGCCAGCCGCCGCCGUAA
rnacentral:rRNA from 1 species